AAAACUUUCAACAACGGAUCUCUUGGUUCUGGCAUCGAUGAAGAACGCAGCGAAAUGCGAUAAGUAAUGUGAAUCGCAGAACUCAGUGAAUCAUCGAAUCUUUGAACGCACAUUGCGCCCCUUGGUAUUCCGAGGGGCAUACCUGUUCGAGCGUCAUUACACCCCUCACGCCCCCCCCCCUGGGGCGUGGUCUUG
rnacentral:rRNA from 1 species